ACAUGCUAGUCGAACGAGAAAGUCCCUUCGGGGGCGAGUAAAGUGGCGCAAGGGUGAGUAACGCGUGAAUAAUCUAUCUCUGAAUUAAGAAUAACUCUUNGAAAGAGGGGCUAAUGCUUUAUAAGACCACAUCUGGACACCGGAUGGGGCCAAAGGUUGCGCAAGCUUCCGUUCAGAGGUGAGUUCGCGUACCAUUAGCUUGUUGGUAGGGUAAAGGCCUACCAAGGCGAGGAUGGUUAGCCGGCCUGAGAGGGUGAUCGGCCACACUGGAACUGAGACACGGUCCANACUCCUACNGGAGGCAGCAGUGGGGAAUUUUGCGCAAUGGGGGAAACCCUGACGCAGCAACNCCGCGUGAGCGAUGAAGGCUUUCGGGUUGUAAAGCUCUGUCGGGCAGGAAGAAAAAAAUGACGGUACUGCCANAGGAACCCCGGCUNACUCCGUGCCAGCAACCGCCGGUAAUACCGAGGGGGCAAGCGUUUGUUCGGAAUUAUUGGGCGUAAA
rnacentral:rRNA from 2 species